AUGAAUGAUUAUACUCCGCUAGGGAAGAUGUAGUGGAAACAGUCUCAAUUUUACAUUUCAAACAAGCAGGGGUUACAUGCAAGGUCAAGUUAAUGAAUUUGGAAAUUUAAAUAAAAAAAUUACACACUCUAGACGUUUCCAGUUAUUGCUUUGGAAAAGUAAUUGUUACUGAUCUGUAACCCACAAGGUCUUCCAACAAACUAUGGCUGCCAGAUUUGUUUUGCUUGGAAGUAGAUUGUUGUUGGCACAUGACAUUAGUGAAGCUUCUGAAAAAUUCAAUUUGAACUUUCACCAAACAUUAUCAAAAAAAAACUUCAAAUUCAAUUAGUGGAAGCCGCCUGCCAGACAAGACGGGUUUUUGAGCUAGUCGUUUGUGCUCGUACCAGUCUCACAUAGAGAUUCUAUGGAUUUCUUCUCAUAUAGCCAUGGAUGGCAAUAAUCAAGUCCAAAAAUACACACUCAGUCUGCGCAAUAUCUUAAUACUACUUCGUUAUAAUUGGAACAAUAUAUGGGUCUUAAAACUAUUAUUUACUCUGAAAAAAAUCCUGACAACAGUGAGAUAAAUGCAAAUUAAUAGCCCGCCCCAGGAUAAAGAAGGGGAGAAAGCGCUCUCCAUUUUUGUGACGUUGUGAAUUCAACAAAGGAGGGGAUAUGACAAAUUUGACCCCCUCUGUGGUGGUUGUUUUUAUUUGUUCUUAUUUGUCCGCCUAUGACUCUCAAUGCCUAGCAAGAACAUAAGAAAAUAAUAAUGCGGUAUUCAGCGGUGUCAAGCUUCUCUACUAAGUGAUGUCGCUCCUUGUCACUCACUUCUACCCACUCUUCGUUAAUGAAAUGUUCGUGGGCCAGAUUUCUUUAAAAUCCAUAAAAAUAAUUUAAAGAAAAUUUAAUUUAA